GCAUACUGGAUGACACCGAUUAAUGUAAGAUUAAAGUCAUCUCCCCUUUAACACUUUAAGUGUUAGGGGUGGACCUCAUUUGACCCUUCACAAAAUCAAGGAAUGUCAACAGCUGGUGUCUGACGGAGAACGAUCACAUUACCAAGUGUGUGGUACCCAUUCAGUAAAAGAAGAGAACGUGUUUAACCUUAAAUUCCCUUCUGUAGCCCAUCAAAAAGGGUGCUUGGAACCAAAAAUGUAUUUUUUUGUAUAAUACCCAUUAAGGACGAGACUGGAGAGGCCACCUCCAAGGCGAUGAUGGACAUCUUCAACACCCACGGUUCUCCUGAGGUCCUCUUGAGUGACUAAGGUCAUGAGCGCUUGAACAUGUCCCCUCCUCCAGGUUUGGUGAAUGGACCAACCAGACCCUCAAGACCGCCAUGGGCAAGUCCCUUGACGGGUACCAGGAAUGGGGGGAGAACAACCUGAAGAUCACUGAAACCCCACCUGAUGUGGUGGUAGUUGGCGACCAGAUCAGAACGCU
ensembl:lncRNA